GAGGGAAAUGCUGACUAAACAGAAGGUACUAGUGUGUCAGCCAGAUAGGGAGCAAGGUUAUGAUAUAACACAACGUUCCCUCUAUUAAGCAAAAAAGUCCCAAUUCUGCAUACCAUUCCUCUACAGCUUUACCUCUAUCGUUAGUGAGAGUAUCACCACAUGUUUGGCAUUAAAGUCGCCUAAUACUAUCACUGGCAAUUGUGUUCGUUGAAUUGGGAGACAAGCGGUCCAGAAAAGUAAGAACUCCGAUAGUUCUCUGUUGGGAGAAAAUUAGACAGCAACCCCCCUAUACCACAGCCACAACAUACCCUAUUCCCUGAUCCUUUAAAAUAAGAGGAUAUCCACCAGAACGAGCAAUUAUACUGACGAGGCCAGUCAAAUCUUCUAACCAAUAAGACGGUGAAGGUACAAAGUAUGGUUCCUAGACAACCGUAAUGUAAAUAUCCCAUUCAGCCCUAGUCUGCAAAAGAAGGUCCCUAGCGCAGUGGUUUAUAUUCGCCUGAAGAAAGUUAAUAUGUGCCCUACUUCCCAUUAUUGAGAAAUAAUAUCAGCCUCCUGAGGCAAAGCCUGAUUUACAGUGCUGAGCCCUCUAGUCAAAUGCGCCAUCUUUGCCUUCACAACAGGAGGAUUACAUUUUCAUUCCCUAAUUAUGUGGUCCGCUGGCGUACCAUCAUCGCCACAGACAGCACAGUGCUACAGCCGCUGUAUAUGUAGCAGCUUGACGUCCAUUUUUUCCAUUUCGGAAACAUAACUGGUACGAUUCACAUCUGACGGAGAUUUCACACUAAUAUGGCACAAACCUAGACAUUUAUAGCUUCGUAGAGGACCAUCUUCUAUCACCAGAAUGUGAGCUGAACUCAAACCUACAAGCAAUAGACAUUAACUUUUAUAGCCGCAGUGACUGGGCAUUGCACAGAAACUACAUUGUUUCCGCCCUGGCCCCUUACAAGCGAGCUCGCCUUUAUCAAAUCCACCUCACAUUCACCCUUUGCAGCUAUUGCUAAUGCCAUCUCUAUCUUACUUUUGCGCUUAGGAUGCUGACGUCCAGGCACCAUCCUGCUCCAGGGAGCAACUUGGAGUAGGGCAAAGACCCUCAAGCACCUGAACUGGAUUAUCAGUGGCACCUGCAUCAGGCAGCACAUUAACGGAGGACCCUACAGGUCUCGCGUGCUCUCUUUCUUUUGAAGCUGCAAGGAGCGGAUGAAUGAUACUCGCCGGUAAUAAGCGGUCCUCCAUUCCCGCCAAUUUGGCAUCGAUCAUUGCACCCACCGAGCGCAUGACCCCACCUUAGGUCGCAUUUAUAAGCGUCUUCAAAAAAUUUGGUUCUUGGUAGGGGUUAACUUCGGAAAAAGGAAAAGCUGAUCUUUCAGAGAACUCCCUUCGCAGUGCCUUUAAAGAUCCUUCCAGAUCAGCAGUAUUUGUUCGCAGACGUUCGUUAUCCACCUGCAGGCGGCGAGUCUGCCACUGAACGAGACGUUAAACAUUUAAACAUCUCCUGUAAGUCUUCUGCCGCCUUUUACAGAUCGUAAGACUCCCUGGAUUAUUAGCAAACUCCAGAAGCUUAGCUGUUCUUUUCUCCUCUCUCUGUCGUAAAUCUACUGCGCCCAGAGAUGCAAUAUCUUCAUCAAGAAGAAAUGUCGGUUUAAUCACAGACUUCUUUCCGGCUACUCCGUAAGUGCCUCUCAAAGACAACUUCUACCGCUUUUUCUUUAACCUCCUUUAAUGCUUUCCUGGGUUUUCCAAUACCUACACAAUGAGAACUCGGCUUUUUCUUCACAGUUUCUCUCCUUGAAACUGAUUCUUCUGUCUUAGUAUUGGAAGCAGAUAUACCGUCGAUAUCCAGAGGAGCCUUGAAGAAAGACCGUUUACGGUCGCCACCCCAGACAUACUCGAUUCCGAGCUACAGUCAUCCAUUUUGAACAAGCAACAACACAAAUUAAUUAUCAAACCAAAUAUCAUGACAAAAAAAAAGUUUGUUUUGUUGAUUUAUUAAUUUUGUCUUCAUUAUUUUCCUGAUCUGUGACAAUAUCAAUGAACUUUAUCAUGUUAACAAUUUUUAAUUGUUCAUCUGUAUCCUCACUUGCAUCUAAUACUGGGUUCCUACUUAAACAAUCUGCUUCUAUAUUUUCUUUUCCCGGAGCGUAUUUAAAUUUAAAAUCAUACUGUGAUGUUAAAUUUCCUAAUUCUUCAUCUGUCCUAGACUUGAUAUUUAAAUUUUUCAAUGCCUUAUAGUCUGAAUAUACUGUAAACGACUUACCUAUUAGCCAAUAUUGCCAGUAUAUUAUUGCUUCUUUAUUAGCUAAACAUUCCAAAUUAAAUUACCUUUUUUUUUCUUUUGAACUUGAUUUAAUUUUAUUGAGCCUCUGGCUUUUUUCCAUUUGGUUAUGUUUGCUUUAACACUGCCCCAAUACCUUCUAAAGAUGCAUCUGUGUAUAUAAUAAUUGGCAUUUUCAUCAAAUAUUUCUAAGAUUGGCUGUGAGCACAAUAUUUUUUUUAUGUUUUCAAAAGAUUUCUGACAAUCUGGAGGCACAGUAAAUUUCUGUUUUUUUCUAAGUAAAUUAUGAAGAGGUUCCCAUAACCUCCCAUCACAUAAAGUUACUGCACUUAUUGGUGCUACUCGUGAUAGAAGUUAAUUUUACCUUGUAUACCUUCAAUUUUUAGGUCUGUGGUAUGGGAAAAUCUUUUAUUGAUACUAAAUUAUCCCUUACUGGCCGUAUUGACCAAUUAUUUUACUGAAUCCGAAUAAAUGUACAUUUCGUACAUUUCAGUCUAAAACCCUACUUUUUUAUAGCUUCAAAAAAUUGUGUUAGAAGAUUAAUCUAUCUAUUUUCAUUUUUUUUCCUUUAUUGCUUACAGAUUGGGACCAUAUUCCGCAAUAUUAUGAAUCGUGGGUUGGACUACGCAUAAAAAAAUAUUCCAGGUCCCAGUCCACACCCAUUUUAUCUAUGUGUAUGGAUUGGGACCUUCUUCCAGACGCCGCUUCAUUUCCUUCAUAUCAGUAUUUAGAGGGAUCCAGACUGUGCGUGACUGAUGUAUUUUUAAAGUGAAUUUUUGAUCUUCGUAUAUACGUUGGAAGAUAAUAUAGCAGUGUGCUUACUUACAGGCUUUAACUCAUCUGGUACCUCAAAUACACGACAGUCUGGUGUCUCAAUAGAGGUUAUGCAUAUCACAUUUGUUGACCCCAUUACUAUAAAUUUAAAUAGUAGUUUCUCCGUUCUGAAUUUUACAAGAAAUGUCGUUUUAUAAGAUUAUAUAUCUUAUUUAAUUUGGAAUUGAUGAAAUUCAAAUAAACUAUUGUGUUGCUCUGAAAAUAAAGAAACGACGUUAAAAGUCUAUUAUUAAAAUUAUCAAUCCCUUUUUAAAAUAACCUCACGAUUAAACAAUAUUGAAUUCAAUGGUGAUGACUUUUACUUCGGUCAAACUUCAAACCAACUGCGAUGGCUGAUAGCGAUUUCUAGUAUACAAUAAGAAAUAUACAAGUUUCUUUACAUAUAUAUUCCAGACAACAACAACAGACACAAACACAACGACAUUCUAGACAACAAAUAUUAAUAUUCAUUAAUGAAAAUAAACACAAUUUUCAUUAAUGAAAAGACGAAGUUUACGUAAAGUGGUUAGAAUGUAGUGUCUACCCAAAAAGUUAUAUCUACAUGUUAAGUAAAAUUUCAGGAAACAAUGGAAUGGUUAAAUAAAGAACCAAGCUAUAAAUGUAAUCGUUUUUUUUUCUCUAUGUUUGAAGGAGGGAACUAAGUUACCCGUAGUACAAUUUUUUACCCUCUACUCACAUAAUUUUAAGAGAUAAAAAAAGUAUCUUGUAUUUAUUGUCUUAUGGUCAGACAAUACCUAAUAAAAUAUAACCUUAAUAUGGUUGGACUCAAUUGUAAAUAUAACCUUAUGAUUGGACUCAUUUUUAAAUAUAACUUUAUAAUUGGACUCAUUUGUAAAUAUAGCUUCAUGAUUGGACUGUAUGGUUAUGUAUAUAAAUACUAAAAGUUAAAAACAUAAAAACAAAUUAAAGUUAAUGAAUAAGUAUUUAUUUCUCUUAUCAAACGAAAUUUACUUAAACAUAUUAUAAACUAAGCCUAAUUACUACUAAGUUGGUUACUUAAUAAAUCCUUCUAAAUUAUUUUAAUAGGUACAAUGUAGUCUUCUACAAAUGAAAAAAAAGCGAAUCUGUGCAGGCAGCAUACUUAAAUCUACACCCUCAAUUGACCUAUAUCUUGUUCCAAACACUGACAAGAUUCAUUAUCGUCAUCCCUAUGUUCACUAUUUUCAUUAACUUCUCUGACAUUGCUUCUACUAUCAUUGAUUACACGAUUAUACCAUUCUAAUUCUGGUACAGUCAUCCAAUCAUCACCAAACUGUUAAGUUAAAAGAUUUGAGACAUCUUUUUUUUAUUAGAAUUAAGUAUAGAAUCACGGACAUUUAGUUUUUCUAGUGCGGUAGAAUGUCUUUUAGCUUUCUUACACAAUGACAAAAAGUUUUCAUUACUCUCAAACCUAUAGUGUUCAUAAGGUUUUAUUAUACAAUCAAGAGUUCUACCCUGAGAACUCUUAUUUUUUUUAACUUGUAUGCGUUUAAGAGACUGUAUACCAGUUAGUUUUUUUUAAAUAACUAAACCUUUGUCAUCAUAGAGGAACCAGUUUUCUCCCAGGAUCAUGUGCUUUCCAUGUUUUGCAAAUAUUUUAUAGUAUUCUUCUUUGUUUAUGAUAAUGGGUAUUUGUCCGAUUUCUUUUUCUAACCUUCCAAAGACUCUAUCAGCUGGAAGAAAACUGUGUCCCCUAACUGUAAAAACAAUGACAAUAUCCUUUAUGUUGUUAUUACUAUUCAUGAGCCAGUACAUUAAAAGAUGAAUUAAAUGACUAUUUUUGUUCUGGCCCCCACAGCCAUCACAAAAUAAUCUGAGUGUUCUUACAUGGUCAGGUCGUCUAGCUCAAUCAGAAAUGAGUACAAAGCAGAACAGAUCGCAACAGCCCCUCUACCAGACUACAACUCAAUCCAAGAGUAAAAGAUUGGGUUUUUUGCUUGUACACCAACUACACAAAAGUUAUACAAACUUAUCUGUCGAGAGUAGUAAGUAAGUCCUGUAUUGGUGUUUUAGGUAGUACUUGAACUUUUUGUAGAUGAAAACAAAAUGAUAGGCUGUUUUCUUCAUAUUUAUUCAUAAGCUGAUAGAAACAAUUAGCAAGCAAUUUGUGGACUCUUUUUUCAGUCAUUAGGAGUGCCUUAUUGUGAGUAUUUGUUUCAUUUUUUAUUUUGUUAGACCAUAGAAUGCAGGUGCUGCAAACAUCAGUUGCUGGUUGCUUGAACCCUAUAUGAAAUUCAUUAUAAAAUAUGGAGUUGAACAUAGUGCGAGACACUUUCAAGUCUAGAUCUACAGAAUCAUAGUACCUCCAAAGAUUUUUAGCAUUAAGCUCACUGGACAGAUAAAUUCUUCUACUUUUAUGCCUGCUAUAAUGACUUUCAGAUGCUGGUAAAUUGUUGAUGAAUUUGCGGACAUUUUCCUUUGUAGUUUGACGUUUAUAGGAUAAUCUAUCAUCUCCCCUUUUAUCUUUAGGGAUAUUUCCAUUGAAAACGGUGAUGAUCAAAUUCUGUAAUCGUUUUUGUCCAAUUUAGAAAGUGUCACUAAAAAACUUUUUACAUACCUGAACCUAUUGUUUCUUUUUGUUAAAUAAUAGGAACAAGAUGGUUUUCUUUCUCUAGCUAAUACUGCAGAUCUUUUUGGUGGUCUUCUUUGAGGUUCAUAAGGCGCAAUCAAUCUUGUUAAGGUCGAUUUACAUCAAACGAACAUAGAGCUAGAGCUAGAACAAGAGCAUUCUUUCGUAAUCUUUUAGUGUAAACAAAAGCUAGAUCGAAUGUUCUUUGCUCAUUCGUGUCAAUUCUGUGGUUAGUAUUGGUAGUGUUUCGUUAUGUCUGACUCUGACAGCGAUAUCAUUAUUGCAAGUGCUGCAUUUAUUAUUUUGUCGCGAAAACUCAAAAAUAAAAGAAGGAAGAGACGUUGGUGGGUUACAAAUUUAAUGCAUCGAAGGACACUGGAUAAUGUAGGUGAAACAAUGACGGAUAUGCGAAAACAAGAAGAAAGUGGACAAUUCCAAAACUUUUGUAGAAUGGCGCCGGAGGAUUUUGAUCAUUUACUAUCUCUGACCAUCGAAAAAAUUCGAAAAUCAAGUACGAAUUGUAGAGACUCAAUUCCUGCAUAUGACAAACUAGCAGUGACUUUGCGAUUUUUGGCAACUGGAGAUUCCUAUGGAAGCCUGAUGUAUUUUACUAAAAUGUCUAAAUCGACAAUAUGUAAUGCUAUAUCUGAAGUAUGUGCUGCAAUAAAUGAAGCAUUGCAAGACUAUGCUAAGACACCGUCAACAGAAGAAGAAUGGCUAUCAAUCGCUCAGGAAUUCAUUGAGAAGUGGAAUUUUCCAAACUGUAUUGGCGCUGUAGACGGAAAACACUGCGUCAUACACCAUCGUCAUACCUAUUAACAGCGGAAGCGACUUUUUAAAUUAUAAAUCCACAUUCAGUGUGGUGUAAAUGGCCGUAGUAGACGCUAACUACAACUUUAUAUUCGCCGAUAUUGGUUGUCAGGGCAGAAUAUCAGAUGGCGGAGUUUUCAGAAACACUUCUUUCUAUCAGAAACUACAUAAUAAUGAAUUAAAUUUGCCCAAUGACCAAAGCCUUCCAGGAAGACAACAGAAUAUGUCAUUCGUAUUUGUAGCAGAUGAUGCAUUCUCAUUACAAAGACACAUCAUGAAGCCGUAUCCUUAUACAUAUAGCCGGUACUCAUGCCAGGGGAUCCGAAAAACGAAUUUACAACUACCGUUUGUCUAGAGAAAGACGAAUAGUAGAAAAUACAUUUGGCAUUCUUUCAGCAGUUUUUCGUGCAUUGCGAAAACCUAUGUUGCUACAACCUGAUAAAGCAUCUCUCAUCGUAAUAACCUGCGUGUACCUACAUGAUUAUUUGAUGAAAAGGAAAGCUUCUAGGAAGCUGUAUAAUUCACCGGGCAUGAUGGUCAGAAUUGAAGAUGACGUCAUCAUUCCAGGCCAGUGGAGAAAUAUGGACCGUUUAUCAUCAUUUCUCCCAUUACCCAACACUGGACGAAGACACACUGUGCAAUGUGAAAAUAUCCGGAAAGAAUUUUCAGACUAUUUCAAUUUGACCAAUAUUUUGCCAUGGCAAAACAAUAUUGCAUAAUGAAAGCGAUAUGUUACUUUAUAAAAAGCGUAAAUAACCCAACCUAAAAUUAUAAUAGAAUACCCAAUAAAUAAACAUAACUACCUACUUACCAUGUUUUUAUUUUGGCUGGUGUCGAAAUCAAUUGUUUUCCUCGGUUUAUAUUUGUCCAUCAAAAAGUGCAUGCUUUUAAAUGCAAACCAUUUAGAAUUAUAAAUACAAUCGGCACUGCUGCCUGACUUCGUACUCAUUGUUUUUUGCCUUUCCCGGCGGUAAGAUGCAAGAAGCGAGUCCAUCUUUUUUUUAACUCUUCAACAUUACAUUCCAGUUGUUUUGCGAUUUACCGCCAAGCAUCUUGUUUGUAAGUUGUAUUUUUAUAGUUUUCAUACGUCGGAUCCCACAGGCAUCUGAAAUUGCGGUAGGCUUCAUUAAUAAACAUUUUUCUUGAGACCAAUCCAUCAUUUAAUCGAUAAGAUACGUAAACAAUCGCUAGAACACAAGAACGCUUUGAAAAGACCGCUCAGUGGCGCGAGCACGUCCGAACACGCUAGAACGCUCUAAGCAACUGUUCGCGCGCUCUUGCGCCGUUUACAUCAAGCGAACGAGCAUUCUUAGAAUAUUCUAUAGAAUCUUUGCGAACGCACUAAGAACAACGAAAGAAUGCUCUACGCCUGUUUACACUAGAAGAAUUUGAUGUAGUGGGGAUAGAAUGAGCAUUCGCUCGUUUGAUGUAAAUCGACCUU